rnacentral:rRNA from 1 species
GUAAGGGGAACCUGCGGAAGGAUCAUUA